ACAAUUGCAAAUGGAGAUACAUAAAUAGAGAGAAAGAAGCAGCAACGUAAACUUGCUCCCUUCUUCUUCACAAGCAAAAGCACAAGCACUGCACGACACUGCGCUACUGCACACACCACACAUACAAAACCACCACUGCAAAUUAACUUACAUAUAUGUAAUAAUAAUCACUAAUAAUUAUAGUAAUCUUGGGAGAAGUAGUAGCUCUGUUGAGUUGUUAAUCUUUCCCACGCUUGAUUCCUNAAGCAUAGUUUUUGUAAAGCUCAUAGUAUAGGCUUUUGUAAAGAACAGGGGGUAGUCUUUUGUAAAGCUCAGGGCAUAGUUUUUGUAAAGCUCAAAGCAUAGUAAGGACAUUUUUAUUAGAAAGAUCAGUUUUUUAUUAGAAAGAUCAGGACAAACAAGAGGGACACACCCCUCAUACCAAACACAAUUAGUCACAAGAAAGAACCAGGGCACACACCAUAUUCAAUCAAACACAAUUAGUCACAAGAAAGAACCAUGGCAGCAACCAAUCAACAAAAUGUAGGGGACACAGCCCACAAUCUCAUUUUUUGACAUUUAAUCAUAGAUUUUUAGCAUUAUAGGGAAAAUCAAACAAAUGAGCAUCAAGUUCAUCAUCUCAGCAUUCAGCCCAUCUACCACAACAGCACAGAGGGUCACACCCCUCAUACCAACAGGACAUAGAGGAACACAGAGGAAUGAGAGCACAGAGGGCCACACCCCUCAUACCAACAAGACAUAGACGAUCACAAAUAUCGGGACAAUAAGAAAGAUCUCACCCUUUUAAAGCAGGAUACAUGGUCUCCACCAUCCUUCGCAACAAAGGGGAGCACCGUCGCCACCAGUCGCCGCCAACAGCCUCUUCCCGCUCGCGCACGACGUCGUCCCAGCUUUCCGUGCAUAGGAGAGAGUCUAGCUCCGACACUUGCGCCUUCAUCGCGGUAGAGGGGCGGCGAUAGAUGGGCCGCCGGAUCGGACUCCUCGGAACCCUCGAAUCCUCCAUGAAAGCACCGCCGGUGGACUCCUUAGAACCUUGGAAUCCGCCGCUCCCCUCAUAGACAAAACCAGACGGCGGCAACGGCAACGGAGGUAUGAGCUUAAAGAAUUCUUCGUCCUCCGAAUCGGGGACGAAUUCGGAGUUCAAAUAUGCCGACCAACCCAUAUUAUCGGCCAUAAACGCGUAUGGAGGUUGAGGACGACAGAAUCUAGGGUUUCGGAGGAGGGCAGCGCGGAUGGAGGUUGAGGACGGCAGAAUCUAGGAUUUCGGAGGAGGGCGGCGCGGAUGGAGGUUCAGGACGGCAGAAUCUAGGGUUUCGGAGGAGGGCGGCGCAUAUGAAGGAUGAGGGCGGCGGUAUCUUAGGGUUUCAGAGCGUGAGAGAGGCGGAGAGGCCGAGAGUUUGAUCGAGAGAGAGAGAGGUGGAGAGGCCGAGAGAGUGAGAAUGAAGGUAGGGUUUUUUUUUUCUUCUUAUUUAUACUACUUGAAUUAAGGUGCAAUUAGUAGUGUUAAUUAACCCCUAAUUCUUUCCUUAUUUGGAGUGUGUCUUUAUUAUUGGGACAUCCCAAUAAGGAAAGUGUGUCUUCAAUAGUGGGACGGAGGGAGUAUAUAGUUUUAAUUAUUGAAUACUCCAUCUGAAAUUAGUCAUUUAUUUAUUUUGGGAUGUCCUAAAUUUUUUUUCUAGUUAAUAUUAUAAAAAUAUUAUUUUUACUAAAUUAACUUUAUUUAAUGUUUCACUUAAAUAUAUGUGAAAAUAAUAAAUAAGAGUAUAAAAAAUAUAAAUAUAUAUUAAAUGCAUUUUCUUAAUAUGUGUGGUGCGACAGAGGGAGUAGCACAUAAUUGUAAGAUAUUUCUUAUAUAAAAAUUGAGAUUAAUCUGAUCGCUCUCCUAUAUAUUUCCAAGAAGGGAAAAUAAUGAAGUAAAUAAACGAGGAAGAAAUGUGGUGGUAUCACAUUAGUGGCAAUAUUAUUCAUCAAAUUAAACGAAUCCUUAGUUAAAGUUAGUUAAAUUCUAGUGAUCAUUUGUGGUUUAAGUUUGAGAAUGUAAUUCUGGUACUGCUCGCACUUUGACAUUUAAUUCUUUACAAGUUUUGUUAGUUAAAAAGAGAUUUAUUUAUUCUGACAUCUAAUUCUUUACAAGUUUUGUUAGUUAAAAAGAGUUUUAUUUAUUAUUUUAAAUUUACUAAUGGGAUGUAUAUAUAUACUUUCUAAAUAAGAACUUUAGUUAUCACAACAUGUUAAAAGUGGAUGGGGGAGGAGGCUAGGGAGUUAGAGAAGUUGUCGAUUUAGGUAAUAUCUAUGUAAAUGUAAUGAAUCCAAGUAAGCGUCCAAGUAUACAUUUAACUUUCUUCAAACAAUGUGAUGAAAUAGAUGUAAUAAAUGAAAAUUGAUCACACGUGUAGAAAACAAAAGCUCUUCGACGCAAACGCAAUUCAUAGAAAACUCCAACUUUAAUAUCAAUAAUGUCUUCUUCUUUUUUUCGAUAAAAAAACAAAGUAUUUAUAAACCUAAGUAAUUCUUACUUUGAAAAGCAGGAAAUAUAUCAAAAUCCUAAAGCGCAAAAAAUAUAUCGAAACUUUAUCCAAAAUUAAAAGGGGAAACUACUAUAUAUAACUUAUUUUUGCUUAUAUUAUUGACACAAUUGCAAACGGAGAUACAUAAAUAGAGAGAAAGAAGCAGCAACGUAAACUUGCUCCCUUCUUCUUCACAAGCAAAAGCACAAGCACUGCACGACACUGCGCUACUGCACACACCACACAUACAAAACCACCACUGCAAAUUAACUUACAUAUAUGUAAUAAUAAUCACUAAUAAUUAUAGUAAUCUUGGGAGAAGUAGUAGCUCUGUUGAGUUGUUAAUCUUUCCCACGCUUGAUUCCUGCGGGGCAAAUCCUUCUCCUCGAAGCAGUAGCGAAUAUACAGCCUCCCGCAGACAGUCCCGGCGACGGGGAAGCCGAGGCAGUUCUGCGAUGUGAUCCCCUUGUCGAAGAGCGUCUUCACCGGUAUCACCACGCGCCCCACGAGCUUGUCUCCGGCCAGCGUUGUCUCGCAGUAGAGAUCCACCACCGCAUCCAGCCCCGCCCGCCGCAGAUGCGCCUCACUUAUGUUGUACACGAACGGGAAGUCCCACGUCGGGUUCGUCUCCCCGUCUCUGUCUGUGUUGGUCGCGCCUGUGCAUCCGUCCACGGAGACCACCGCGUACACUUUCAUCCGCCCCAACCGCCGGAUGUCGGGCAGAUUCUCCGCCCCCACGAUCGUUAGCUCCAAUCUCCGGCUCCCCAUAUCACUAGCUUGAUUGUGUUCUUUUUCACUGCCGCUAUUUAUAGGAAGGGGCUGAGACUUUUUUUUGUUUUUCCUUCAAAAAGAGGAUCAAUAAUGUUAUAUUGAUGUUAUAUGAAAAACAUCAGUAUAACCCACGUGAAAAAACAAGAAAAUGUAGAUGACAUUACGUUGACGUUGAAUUUCACACAAUGAAU
rnacentral:lncRNA from 1 species